GUAGGCAACCUACCCUUUAGACGGGGACAACAUUCCGAAAGGAGUGCUAAUACCGGAUGUGAUCAUCUUGCCGCAUGGCAGGAUGAAGAAAGAUGGCCUCUACAAGUAAGCUAUCGCUAAAGGAUGGGCCUGCGUCUGAUUAGCUAGUUGGUAGUGUAACGGACUACCAAGGCGAUGAUCAGUAGCCGGUCUGAGAGGAUGAACGGCCACAUUGGGACUGAGACACGGCCCAAACUCCUACGGGAGGCAGCAGUGGGGAAUCUUCCGCAAUGGACGAAAGUCUGACGGAGCAACGCCGCGUGAGUGAUGAAGGAUUUCGGUCUGUAAAGCUCUGUUGUUUAUGACGAACGUGCAGUGUGUGAACAA
rnacentral:rRNA from 1 species